rnacentral:rRNA from 1 species
UACGGAGGGUGCGAGCGUUGUCCGGAAUCAUUGGGCGUAAAGGGCGCGUAGGCGGUCGACCCAGUCCGGGGUGAAAUCUUUCGGCUUAACCGGAAAAGGGCCUUGGAUACUGGUCGACUUGAGGGAGGUAGGGGCCUGUGGAACUUCCGGUGGAGCGGUGAAAUGCGUUGAUAUCGGAAGGAACGCCGGUGGCGAAAGCGACGGGCUGGCCCUCCACUGACGCUGAGGCGCGAAAGCCAGGGGAGCAAACGGG